GAUGAACGCUGGCGGCGUGCCUGAUACAUGCAAGUCGAGCGAAUGGAUUAAGAGCUUGCUCUUAUGAAGUUAGCGGCGGACGGGUGAGUAACACGUGGGUAACCUGCCCAUAAGACUGGGAUAACUCCGGGAAACCGGGGCUAAUACCGGAUAACCUUUUGAACCGCAUGGUUCGAAAUUGAAAGGCGGCUUCGGCUGUCACUCAUGGAUGGACCCGCGUCGAAUUAGCUAGUUGGUGAGGUAACGGCUCACCAAGGCAACGGUGCGUAGCCGACCGGAGAGGGUGAUCGGCCACACUGGGACUGAGACACGGCCCAGACUCCUACGGGAGGCAGCAGUAGGGAAUCUUCCGCAAUGGACGAAAGUCUGACGGAGCAACGCCGCGUGAGUGAUGAAGGCUUUCGGGUCGUAAAACUCUGUUGUUAGGGAAGAACAAGUGCUAGUUGAAUAAGCUGGCACCUUGACGGUACCUAACCAGAAAGCCACGGCUAACUACGUGCCAGCCGCCGCCGUAA
rnacentral:rRNA from 1 species